rnacentral:rRNA from 1 species
AUUGAACGCUGGCGGAAUGCUAUACACAUGCAAGUCGAACGGUAGAGGGGGCAACCCCUCGAGAGUGGCGAACGGGUGAGUAAUAUAUCGGAACGUGCCCAGUCGUGGGGGAUAACGUAGCGAAAGUUACGCUAAUACCGCAUACGAUCUAGGGAUGAAAGCGGGGGAUCGCAAGACCUCGCGCGAUUGGAGCGGCCGAUAUCAGAUUAGGUAGUUGGUGGGGUAAAGGCUCACCAAGCCAACGAUCUGUAGCUGGUCUGAGAGGACGACCAGCCACACUGGAACUGAGACACGGUCCAGACUCCUACGGGAGGCAGCAGUGGGGAAUUUUGGACAAUGGACGCAAGUCUGAUCCAGCCAUUCCGCGUGCAGGAUGAAGGCCCUCGGGUUGUAAACUGCUUUUGUACGGAACGAAAAGGUCUCUCUUAAUACGGGGGACUCAUGACGGUACCGUAAGAAUAAGCACCGGCUAACUACGUGCCAGCCGCCGCCGUAAUAC